rnacentral:siRNA from 1 species
AGAAUCAGCCAUGGUGAGAUGGAA